AUUGAACGCUGGCGGCAGGCCUAACACAUGCAAGUCGAACGGUAACAGGAAGAAGCUUGCUUCUUUGCUGACGAGUGGCGGACGGGUGAGUAAUGUCUGGGAAACUGCCUGAUGGAGGGGGAUAACUACUGGAAACGGUAGCUAAUACCGCAUAACGUCGCAAGACCAAAAAGGGGGACCUUCGGGCCUCUUGCCAUCGGAUGUGCCCAGAUGGGAUUAGCUAGUAGGUGGGGUAACGGCUCACCUAGGCGACGAUCCCUAGCUGGUCUGAGAGGAUGACCAGCCACACUGGAACUGAGACACGGUCCAGACUCCUACGGGAGGCAGCAGUGGGGAAUAUUGCACAAUGGGCGCAAGCCUGAUGCAGCCAUGCCGCGUGUAUGAAGAAGGCCUUCGGGUUGUAAAGUACUUCCAGCGGGGAGGAAGGGAGUAAAGUUAAUACCUUUGCUCAUUGACGUUACCCGCAGAAGAAGCACCGGCUAACUCCGUG
rnacentral:rRNA from 1 species